rnacentral:rRNA from 1 species
GAGGAGAGUGGAAUUCCACGUGUAGCGGCUGAAAUGCUAAGAGAUGUGGAGGAACACCAGUGGCGAAGGCGACUCUCUGGUCUGUAACUGACGCUGAGGAGCGAAAGCGUGGGGAGCGAACAGGAUUAGAUACCCUGGUAGUCCACGCCGUAAACGAUGAGUGCUAAGUGUUAGGGGGUUUCCGCCCCUUAGUGCUGCAGCUAACGCAUUAAGCACUCCGCCUGGGGAGUACGGUCGCAAGACUGAAACUCAAAGGAAUUGACGGGGGCCCGCACAAGCGGUGGAGCAUGUGGUUUAAUUCGAAGCAACGCGAAGAACCUUACCAGGUCUUGACAUCCUCUGACAAUCCUAGAGAUAGGACGUCCCCUUCGGGGGCAGAGUGACAGGUGGUGCAUGGUUGUCGUCAGCUCGUGUCGUGAGAUGUUGGGUUAAGUCCCGCAACGAGCGCAACCCUUGAUCUUAGUUGCCAGCAUUCAGUUGGGCACUCUAAGGUGACUGCCGGUGACAAACCGGAGGAAGGUGGGGAUGACGUCAAAUCAUCAUGCCCCUUAUGACCUGGGCUACACACGUGCUACAAUGGACAGAACAAAGGGCAGCGAAACCGCGAGGUUAAGCCAAUCCCACAAAUCUGUUCUCAGUUCGGAUCGCAGUCUGCAACUCGACUGCGUGAAGCUGGAAUCGCUAGUAAUCGCGGAUCACAU